UACGUAGGGUGCAGGCGUUAAUCGGAAUUACUGGGCGUAAAGCGUGCGUAGGUGGCUUAGAAAGUUUGAUGUGAAAGCUCAGGGCUUAACCCUGAAAUGGCAUUGAAUACUGCUGAGCUGGAGGUUUGGAGGGGGGACUGGAAUUCUUGGUGUAGCAGUGAAAUGCGUAGAUAUCAAGAGGAACACCAGUGGCGAAGGCGGGUCUCUGGGCAGUAACUGACGCUGAGGAGCGAAAGCGUGGGGAGCGAACAGG
rnacentral:rRNA from 1 species